rnacentral:rRNA from 1 species
UGGGGAAUAUUGCACAAUGGGCGAAAGCCUGAUGCAGCGACGCCGCGUGAGGGAUGACGGCCUUCGGGUUGUAAACCUCUUUCAGUAGGGACGAAGCGCAAGUGACGGUACCUGCAGAAGAAGCACCGGCUAACUACGUGCCAGCAGCCGCGGUAAUACGUAGGGUGCGAGCGUUGUCCGGAAUUGCUGGGCGUAAAUAGCUCGUAGGCGGUUUGUCACGUCGUCUGUGAAAUCCUAGGGCUUAACCCUGGACGUGCAGGCGAUACGGGAUGACUUUAGUACUACAGGGGAGACUGGAAUUUCUGGUGUAGCGGUGGAAUGCACAGAUAUCAGGAAGAACACCGAUGGCGAAGGCAGGUCUCUGGGUAGUAACUGACGCUGAGGAGCGAAAGCAUGGGUAGCGAACAGG